rnacentral:rRNA from 1 species
GAGUUUGAUCCUGGCUCAGAACGAACGCUGGCGGCAGGCCUAACACAUGCAAGUCGAACGCUCCGCAAGGAGAGUGGCAGACGGGUGAGUAACGCGUGGGAACCUACCUCGAGGUACGGAACAACCAAGGGAAACUUUGGCUAAUACCGUAUGUGCCCGAGAGGGGAAAGAUUCAUCGCCUUGGGAUGGGCCCGCGUCGGAUUAGCUAGUUGGUGAGGUAACGGCUCACCAAGGCGACGAUCCGUAGCUGGUCUGAGAGGAUGACCAGCCACACUGGGACUGAGACACGGCCCAGACUCCUACGGGAGGCAGCAGUGGGGAAUAUUGGACAAUGGGCGCAAGCCUGAUCCAGCCAUGCCGCGUGUGUGAUGAAGGCCUUAGGGUUGUAAAGCACUUUCGCCGAUGAAGAUAAUGACGGUAGUCGGAGAAGAAGCCCCGGCUAACUCGUGCCAGCAGCCGCGGU